UUUAAUCAAUCUUAAAAUACAAAUAUUAUACGUUUAUAUUCUUAUAUAUUCGCGGGAGGAUGUGCGCAGGUACCAUGUUGUCCUGCUGAAUUGUAGCCAAUCAACGAACAGUGUUGUAAGCAAUUCGAAAUAAUAACGGUUGACCGACACGAGGCUCCGCACAGUCGGUCUGUGGAUUCGCACGUGGUGAUAUGUUCGUCGUGUUAAAUAAUGUCUACAAUGUGGAUAUAUAUCAGUUAGUAAUGAAUGCUAAACAAAGAAUUACAGAGUUAAUCUGUUAAAUUUUGAUAGAAGAAAAUAUAUAAAUACAAAAGAUGCAACACUUGAUCGAUCAUUGUUUUAUUUAAGAAUAAAUAAAGGUAGCACCCAUGUAUAGAUGUAUAUAUAGAUUAUUAUGGAAUCCGAGGAUUGAACUGCGAAGAUUGUUUCAAAUGUAUUCCAGCAAGAGUUAAUUAUAUCCAUAUUGGUCAUAUGUCACUGUUACAUUUCAUAAAUUAAAUUGGUCUUCAAAGUCUCUGGAUCUCCAAAACCUUGUGCAUGGAUUUCGUGUUAUUCAAAUAAACCUAUUCUCCUGUAAGGUAAAUCAUUAUAAAUCUUCUCUUAUGUUGGUAUGGUGAGUCUCUUUUUAUUAUCUUUAUUACGAAAUGUAUGUAAUCAUGCGUUCUCCUUUUUAUUAUGACGGAUUUAAAUGAUGUACUGCAUGCCUUUACCAACGAAUGCUUACAAAU